rnacentral:rRNA from 1 species
GCUUAACACAUGCAAGUCGAGGGGCAGCAUUUCUUUUUGCUUGCAAACUGGAGAUGGCGACCGGCGCACGGGUGAGUAACACGUAUCCAACCUGCCGAUAACUCGGGGAUAGCCUUUCGAAAGAAAGAUUAAUACCCGAUGGUAUAAUCAGACCGCAUGGUCUUGUUAUUAAAGAAUUUCGGUUAUCGAUGGGGAUGCGUUCCAUUAGGCAGUUGGUGAGGUAACGGCUCACCAAACCUUCGAUGGAUAGGGGUUCUGAGAGGAAGGUCCCCCACAUUGGAACUGAGACACGGUCCAAACUCCUACGGGAGGCAGCAGUGAGGAAUAUUGGUCAAUGGGCGCAGGCCUGAACCAGCCAAGUAGCGUGAAGGAUGACUGCCCUAUGGGUUGUAAACUUCUUUUAUAUGGGAAUAAAGUUUUCCACGUGUGGAAUUUUGUAUGUACCAUAUGAAUAAGGAUCGGCUAACUCCGUGCCAGCAGCCGCGGUAAUACGGAGGAUCCGAGCGUUAUCCGGAUUUAUUGGGUUUAAAGGGAGCGUAGGUGGACAGUUAAGUCAGUUGUGAAAGUUUGCGGCUCAACCGUAAAAUUGCAGUUGAUACUGGCUGUCUUGAGUACAGUAGAGGUGGGCGGAAUUCGUGGUGUAGCGGUGAAAUGCUUAGAUAUCACGAAGAACUCCGAUUGCGAAGGCAGCUCACUGGACUGCAACUGACACUGAUGCUCGAAAGUGUGGGUAUCAAACAGGAUUAGAUACCCUGGUAGUCCACACAGUAAACGAUGAAUACUCGCUGUUUGCGAUAUACAGUAAGCGGCCAAGCGAAAGCAUUAAGUAUUCCACCUGGGGAGUACGCCGGCAACGGUGAAACUCAAAGGAAUUGACGGGGGCCCGCACAAGCGGAGGAACAUGUGGUUUAAUUCGAUGAUACGCGAGGAACCUUACCCGGGCUUAAAUGGCAUUUGAAUAUAUUGGAAACAGUAUAGCCGUAAGGCAAAUGUGAAGGUGCUGCAUGGUUGUCGUCAGCUCGUGCCGUGAGGUGUCGGCUUAAGUGCCAUAAGGAGCGCAACCCUUAUCUUUAGUUACUAACAGGUCAUGCUGAGGACUCUAGAGAGACUGCCGUCGUAAGAUGUGAGGAAGGUGGGGAUGACGUCAAAUCAGCACGGCCCUUACGUCCGGGGCUACACACGUGUUACAAUGGGGGGUACAGAAGGCAGCUACCUGGUGACAGGAUGCUAAUCCCAAAAGCCUCUCUCAGUUCGGAUCGAAGUCUGCAACCCGACUUCGUGAAGCUGGAUUCGCUAGUAAUCGCGCAUCAGCCAUGGCGCGGUGAAUACGUUCCCGGGCCUUGUACACACCGCCCGUCAAGCCAUGAAAGCCGGGGGUACCUGAAGUACGUAACCGCAAGGAGCGUCCUAGGGUAAAACUGGUAAUUGGGGCUAAGUCG